AGCGGGGAGCAAGGCCUGCGGGGAGGCGCAGGAUGGACGCGUUGGCUGUCAUGAUGUAGGACCUCCUGACCUAGAACCAUGCCCGGCGCAGGGAGAACAACGAGCUUACGGACCGGGUGCGGGGGCUGCUGUGCGAGAAAGCCUACCUGCUGGCCCGGGAGCGUUCGCCGGCCCACCUGGUGGCUUUCCCUGGACGUUUAACGGCGACUCCGCCCGGCCUCCCGACUUUUUGAUGCAGGCGUUCUCUUACAUGACUUUCUUCGAGGCUAGAUUCUCGAAAGACAUCCUGAAGGUGGCUUUCUUAAUUAGCUGCCUCACCGGCUGGCGGAGCAGUUCGUAGUCGCCUACAUCGAGAGGGAGAGCCCCGUCCUGGCUCAGUACUGGGGCUUCGUGGACGCGCUGUAGCGGGUCUUCGCCGUCGUGGGUAGGAAACAGUCGGGCCGGAUCCCCGGUGUCUGGGGAGCGGCUGCCGGCCGGGCCCGCGCGAGCCGCUUCACUCCUACAAGCCCGGCUCACUAGUUCCAAGCUGCUGGACUUUGACCCUCGCUGGGAAGCUUGAUCGCCGCCUGUUCUCGCCAAUCUCUAUGCCUUUGCACUGCCCAGCAACCCGGUCACUGCCCAGGACCUGUUAAAAGUUGAAUGGACCUCCCAGAAUCACGCCGCUGCCACCGCCGUUUCUAGAGACGGCUUUUGGCCACCUUUGAGAAUCAGGGUCAAACUUGGAAGGGCCUGCAUUUGUCACACUUCCUCGGACACUAAUUUGGAUAGUUCAGGCCCAGAGACGGCUUCCCGGGUUAGUGUGCCUGACAACACUGAAGAAAAAUUGUGACAUUUUCCUUCCCCAGAAUUACUUCGUUUUAUACAUUUCACUUCUCUUCUGAAAUCACAGCAAUGCCAGUUUGCGCCUUUUGGUCUGAGGAACGCAGGCCCUGGCCACUACCAGGAAAAAUAGGCUUCACUAGCUUCCUGCUUCUCAAAUCCCUUGAAAAGAUGAGAUUUUUUUUUCGUGGAGUUCACGUCUAGUAAGUUGGUCUUGAUUUUUUUUUUCUUUCAGAACCUUCUGGAUUUCAGCUUUGGCAAGCUUCCUCUGUUUCUGAGACACCUCCAUCACCUGGGUUACAAUCCCAUCCAUGAUUUUCCCCAUCUCCAGGCAUUUUUCAUGGAAAGCUCCUCAUGCUUUUUAAUUCCAGUUUAUCCAUUUGUGUGGCUUUAACCUCCACAUCCAGGUCUUUCUGGCUAAACUGCAGUAUAUCCACAAUGGGGCCAAUGGACACAUAAGGGAGGCCCUAUCACAGGAACACGAACACCCGGAGUCGCUAGAAAUCAGAUUCCACCGGCUUUGCUUCAGGCCGACUUCCUAAGGAAGGCAUGGUAGCAUCACAGAUGCUGUUUGUCUCAGUUUCCUGAGAAGCCAGUUUCUUAGAGCUGUCAUUCAAGAGUGGGUCAAAUUUGAGAUAUAAAAACCUUUCUCAAGGUAGACUCUUUGGCCCCUAUGCCUAGUAUGUCAGCUGGGCCUCUGAAGCUCUCCUCUUUGAGGUCCUGGCAGGCUCUGGCCCCUGUUGAGAAGGGGAAGCAGUCAUGUGAACUCAUGUGCUGGAAGAAUCCACUCUACCCCUUCCCUGGCUUCUCUGCUGCAAUUUUUGUCUUUAAACGUAUUUUCAGGUGAUUCCAGUUUGCAUACAUAAUUGAGAAAUAUAAGAUUUGGUCCCCAGUAGAGAGCCAGGUGAACUUAAGAAGGAGUCCAUCUAAGAAAAUUGCACAAUUAUCUAGUUUCACUUGGGUUUAGCUUUUAUGGCUUACUUGAUUUAGUAAUCAAAUGAUUUUCAAAUGAUUUUGAUCAGGUGACUCUUCGUAAACUAGAGAAUGAACUUGAGAGCCGAAUUAGCACAGUUUAAAAAUAAUCAUUUAGUUUUUGUUCUCUAUUGUGUAAAUUAUUGAGGUUUGACUGUCUUGGCUAAACUAAGGCUCAUCUAAUAUCUUUAUUUUUGAUAUCCUAAUUUCUUGCCAAUUAAUUGAAGGUAACAUACUAGCAGACCAGAUAACUACUUAUGCAAACCUCAGAUAACCACUAAUUUAAACAAAAUUAAAUCCUUUGCCUUCCCCAGAUCCUUUGCACAUGGCCUGCUAUCAACAAUCCUCUACAAUGAUUCUCAGCAUCACCUAGGGAGCUUAUGUAAAAUCUCAAAUUCCUGGGCCCUAUCCCCAGAGUUUCUUAUCAAGUAAGUCUGCAUUGGGAUCUGAGGAUUUGCAUCUCUAACAAAAAUUCCUAGGCGAUGCUCACACUGUUGGUGUAAGGUUUCCUUGAUGGAGAACUAUCAAAGCAGUCAAAGCUAUCAAAAUAAAAAAGAAUUCUGAUUGGGUGCAGUGGCUCACACCUGUCAUUCCAGCACUUUGAGAGGCCAAGGUGGGCAGAUCACAUGAGGCCAGGAGUUCAAGACCAGCCUGGCCAACAUGGCAGAAACCCCAUCUCUACUAAAAAUACCAAAAUUAGCCGGGCAUGGUGGAACACACCUGCAAUCCCAGCUACUCGGGAGGCUGAGGCAAGAGAAUCGCUUGAACCUGGGAGGCAGAAGUUGCAGUGAAACAAGUUGGUGCCAAUGCAUUCCAGCCUGGAUGAUGGAGCGAGACUCUGUCUCAAGAAAAAAAAAACAAAAACAAAAACAGAACUCUGCCUCAUAGCGUCUUUUAAGUUAUACACUGGACCUAUCCUUUCCUCACUGACAGACAUUUUAAAAAUUUUUUGGUAAGGCCUAGUUCAUAUAAAAUGUAAUCCAAGCCAAAAGUUAACAAGAAUAAGGGGAGGAAAGGGGACUCCAAUAGCAGAGAAAGGUAUUUACCUGGGAUAUACACUGCAAGAAAAUCAAAGCUAUAAGAAACGUCCAUGAAUAGUAGCCAUAAGGCAUCAGAGUGAUAAAAUUCCUGUCCCUAGGAGGGAAUAUUGGAGUUUGCCAGAGAAACAGAAUGAGAGAGACAGAGAGGUUUAUUGUAGGAAUUGGCUCAUAUGAUUACGGAGGCUGAGAAGACCCACGAUCUGCCAUCUGCAAGCUGGAGAAUCAGGAAAGCUGGAGGUGUAAUUCAGUCAAGUCCAAUGGCCAGAGAAGCAAGUGUACUGAUAUCCAAGAGCAGGAGAAAAUAGAUGUCCCAGAACAAGCAGAGAGGCUGAUUUUGUCCUUCCUCUGCCUUUUUGUUUCAUAUGGGGCACUGAAUGGACUGAUGCCCAUCCACAUUAGUGAGGGUGGAUCUUCUUUACUCAGUCUACCAGUAGAAAUGUCAAUGACUUCCAGAAACACCCUCACCAACACACGUGGAAAUAAUGUUUUACCAGGUAUCUGGGCAUCCCUUGGUUCACUCAAGUUGACACAAAAUUAACCAUCACAGAAGGAGACUGGCCUUACUCUGAAAUUAGGAAACUAAAGAAGUGACCAGAAUGGAGACUAGGUAGAGACAACUAGUUCUCUACCAAACAUGUACAGUUAUUCGUUGGUAUCUGAAGGGGAUUGGUUCCAGGAACUCUCAGGGAUACCAAAAUCUGCAGGUGCUCAAGUCAUUUAUAUAAAAUAUUACAGUAUUUGCAUAUAACCUUUGCACAUCUUCCAUAUACUUUAAAUCAUCUCUACAUUACUUAUAAUAAUGAAUGUGUAAAUGCUAUGAAAAUAGUUACUACACUAUUGUUUAUUUGUAUUUUUAUUGAAUUGUUUUGGGGUGGGGGGCAGCUGUAUCUUUCUUAGUAAUAGAACCCCUGGUUUUAGCUGGGCACAUGACUGCCCUCAAUAAAGAUUAAAGUACCCCAGCCUUCCUUGAGAUUGUGGCCAUGUGACUGAACUUUAGACAGUGAGAUAUAAGCAGAUAUCUUCUGUGGCAGUGUUAGGAAACUAUUAAAGACAGUAAGAACAUUGCCCUUUGCCUUCUUUUUCCUUUCUUCAUUUUUCUGCCUGGAAUGCAAAUGUGAUGGCUAACACCCUAGCAGCCAUUUUAGAUUAUGAAGAUGAGAGUCACUCCCCAGGAAGGGUGGACCUGAAAGCUGGAUUCUAGAUGUGGAAUGACAAUACCAGCCCUGGACUACCUACCUGUAGGCUGUGUGUGUGUGUGUGUGAUUGACAGAGAGAGAGAGAGAUAGAUACCACAAGUAACACAAAGCAUCAUACCUGGGACUGGGAAGGUUAAUGUUUAAACAUUUUAAAUGUGGCAUUGGUUUGUUGAAGACAGUCAAGCAGUAGGUGCUGCAGGCUUUGUUGAGGCUAGAAAGCUGUUGGUCUUUAUUAGGUGAUGGCAAAACAAUGGAUCACAUUUUCAUGUGCUGUGUCUUGGGAGGCAAAUGAUGAGAAUGUAGGAUUGGGGAAAAUGGUAAGGAAAAUCCAAAAUGUUCAUGUUUUCUAACCCCUUCUUGCCAAUCUUAAAAGAAGGACAAACAGGCUAGAUUAAGCAAGUCUACAGUUACAAUUGGAAGGAAACACAGCCGUACUAAGGAAGUACUCUGUCUGUGGCCUGCAGUCUAGUUUGACUAGGUCCUGUAUUUGAGCUUUGAAAGAGUAAAGAAUACAAGUGCUCGUAUACCCCUGAAGUAGUUACCAGCAGUGACUGCAAGGAGGUAAUCUUAUGGGAUGAAACUAUAACUCUGUAUUAACCAUCAUAUAUAGCAUAUAUGUGUAUAUGUAUGUGUGUGUGUGUAUAUGUGUAUAUAAAUAUAUGUGUGUGUAUAUACACACAUGUACACACCCUACAACCCAGUGAUUUCAAAAAAUUAAACAUUUGUUUAGCUCAUGAAUCUGUGGGUUGGGUGAACAUUUCUAUUGGUCUUGGCUGGGCUCACCUGUACCCAGUCAGCUGCAGGGUCUAGCUCUUCUUAUCUUGGCUGGGAUCUCACACAUGUCUAGGAUCAGCUGCUUUACUAGUCUAGGAUUGUCUUGGCUGAGACAGGUGGACUACUCAGUUCUCCUCCACUGCCUUAUCCUUCAGCUGGCCAGCCCAGAAAUGUUGCCAUGUUUACAGCAUAAGAGCAAGCAAGAAAGAAUAAUAUGCAACCACUUUUCCAAGCCUAAGGUGAAAGGGCGGGCAGAACCUGUGGUGUUAGGAGGCAACUCAUACCAGCCCAUGGGUCUACCGUUUAAUUUUCAGAAAUUUGGCAAGCUGAUUGUUAACACAGCUGUUGUUUAAUUUAUGUACUUGUAAUUAAAUAAUUUACAUUAAAACAAAGAUAAUAGGUACUCAAA
rnacentral:lncRNA from 1 species